AUUGGCACUGCUAGUGGUGGCCUUCUGAUUCCCAGCUCUCUUGCUGGGGAAGCGGCCGAUGCUGCCACCUUGUCCCAGGAACCAUUCCCAUUCCUGGAGGCCAAGCCUAGAGGCACUCCUCCAAUUCUUCCAACAAUUUCAUCAGCUCCUAAUUCCCUGUUAAAUUCCUUUUCAUAACCCGGGUGAUUUCUAUUUCUACCACAGAUCCUGGAUCCAUACACUCACCCUUAACCCAAAGCCCAUCAGAUCCUGAUAGUGAGCACCUCUGUUAAAUGAGAGCAUGACUCAACAAUGGCUCUCAUUGUGGUCCCCAGGCCAGCAGCAUCAGCAUCACCUGGAAACUUGUUAGAAAUGCAGAUUCUCAGACCAGCUGACUCCACCUCUGAGAGUGAGACCCAGAGAUCUAUCUCUUCACAAGUACUCCAGACCACAAAUGCAGAAUCUAUGAUCACAAACAAGGAGGAUGAGCUGAAGUUGACUGAAUACAUCUCCUGCUCUGGCUGAGGAUGGAUGGGAGUGGGGUGAAACUAGCUGCUCACUCCAGAAGAACCUAAAGCAUGUCACACAGUCAAGGACACUUUUCUCUGUAGGCCCUCUGGAUGGAAAAGAAGGGUCGACACCAAAAGCAUGUGCUGGGAGGUAUGUAAGGUUGAAGUUCAAAGGUCAAAUCCAAAUAUGCUCAACGAGAUACUCUGGUUGAACCACAGGAGCUGAGGCCCUGAACCACAGGACCCAGGAAGGUGCAGAGUGAGCAGCAAUAGGCAUAGUUGAUCAGCAUGUGGCCUGGAAAUUUUCCGGAAGGAAAGCACAAUUUUCUUCAACUAUUUUUAUCACGUUCCCAGGGCCUGGCCUAUUUGAUGCAAGAGAUAAAAGAGCACGCAAGGUGGACAUGGUCCCUGACUCCCCGACAAGGGCCUAGAAUCUACUAGACAAGGCUGACCAUUAAAGAACUUAGCCAGCACCUCAGACUCAUCUUUCCAGCUUGCCACCAGGAAAGAAAUAACUUUUCUCAAGUCAGUCAAGGGCAAAAAGAAAAUGUCAUUGGCCUAGCUUGGGUCAUAUGCCCACCUCUUAGAAGAAUUAGUAAAGUCAGAUGGGUAAUCCAGCUUGGGUAACAUGCCCACCCCUGUGGAUGGGAGAGAGAGAGGAGAGAGGGGUGAUGCUUUCGCAGCCUGUCUGAGAAGCACAAGAAUGAGGGGUGACUAAACCAGAGAAAGGCAAUGGGGCAGUGGGGAAACGUUCACAACAGACAGACUAUUAAGUUCUCACAAGUCACCUGUGUUAAUGCAUCUGUCUUGCUUUGGAGAUUUAAGAGGAUGAUGACUCUCUCUGAAUUCAGAUAGGACUUGACCCCUUGAAAACUGUAAUUCUCUACUUUUUUUGAAAGCUAAAUAAGGUUGGGCACAGUGGCUCAUGCCUGUAAUCCCAGCAUUUUGGGAGGCCAGGGAAGGUGGAUCACAAGGUCAAGAGAUCGAGACCAUCCUGGCCAACACAGUGAAAGCCAAUCUCUACUAAAAUACAAAAAUUUAACCGGGCUUGGUGGCGCAUGCCUGUAGUCCCAGCUACUCGGGAGGCUGAGGCAGGGGAAUUGCUUGAACCCGGGAGGCGGAAGUUGCAGUGAGCCGAGAUUGCACCACCGCACUCCAGCCUGGCAACAGAGCAAGACUCCAUCUCAAAAAAAAAAACCUAGAAGACAAGUGUCCUAAGGUGAUGUUGGACCAUGCAGAACAAGAUGAUUUCAGUUUAGGCACUGAGAAGCAUGUAGAGGACAGCAGCUCUAAUGUCUGAAGGUGGCCCCUAGAAACCCAGCCCAACGGAAAUCCGAGUACUAACGAUGAUAAAAAUAAUGCUAAUAACAAUAAUAACAAUAGCAAGAGAGAACUCUUGGCUCUUACAUUAUACCCGAAACUGUUCUAAGGGCUUUGCAUUUAUAAACUAAUUUAAUCUCUACAGCAACCCUACAAGGUAGAUACCAGAGUAUAAUUCCCCCAAGUGAGUUUAAGUAACUUGCCCAAAGUGAGUGAUCCAAAUCCAGGCAGUCUCGCUUCAGAACUCACACUUUUCAGCACUAUACUACACUCCAUGGUAGAAAAUAAUCUGGAAUCAUUAGUGUGAACCUGAAUUUACCUAAUGGUGGGGUUGUUGUUGUAAUUAAGAACUUAGAAAGCAAUAAAAAGCACCUCCUCCCUGUCCCACGCAUAGUCAUAGAUGCCACCUUUCAAAUGGAGAAAUGUCAGUAGCCAGAAGCAGAUGAUGGAUUUUUUAAACAGGACACACGAUGCAUAUAUUAUAAGAAAAAUAGCAAUAAAUUUAACUACAUCAAAAUUUAACACUUUUACAUAAUCAAUGACAUUAUAAACAAAAUUCAAAGACAAGUCACAGACCAGGAGAAGCAUGGUGAAUGCUCACAACCAACAAAGGAUUAAAAACCUGAAUAUUUUAAGAACUCCUACAGAUUAAUAAGGGAAAGAUAAAUAACCCAAGAGAGAAAAAUAGGCAAAAACUAUGAAAAGGCAUUUCACAGAAGCAGAAACCCGGAGGGUCAAUAUCCAUGAAAAGAUUGUCAACUUCAUGAAUAGUCGGGAAACAAGUGAAACACCAAUGAGAUACCAUUUCACUUCCAUCCAAUUAACAACAAAGUUCAAGAUCAACAUGGCCUGGUGGCAGCAAGAAUGCAGAGAAAUAGGAGCCUCUUAUGCUGCUGGUGUGACAGUGCACACGCAGACAUCUUUUAAAAACAACUGACAAUACCUGGUAAAGGGGAAGCAUCCACUUCUAUGUAUCUGUCCUAAAAUCACUCGCAUGUGUACACAAGAAAACAGCCACAGAAUGUGUGGCAGCAUUGUUUGUAGUCAUAGGAAAUUUCAAACAAGUGUACUUUGCAAAUCAUAGGACAGUCAUAAAUUAUUUGUGACAUAUUCCAAUAAUGGAAAACUCCACUGCAGUUGGAAUGAAUGAAGGGAAUCAAGAUGCAUCAAAAUGAAUAGAAAUAAAAAU
rnacentral:lncRNA from 10 species